rnacentral:misc_RNA from 1 species
UUCAAGUCCUCCCAGGCCCACCAAUUUAGAAGUGUUUAUAACAGCUACUUAUAAAAAGUUUGUGAUGCUUUUCCAUUUUAUUUAAGCGCUUCACACACAAAGGUUUUGAAUCCACAAAAGUUUUGAAGCCUUGUAUUUUGUUUUUUAAGGGGCCGUAGCUCAG